CCUGAGCCGCUCAUGGAAAAGCUUGUGGAUAACGUCGCUGUUCCUUCUGCGGUAGUCGAGGAGGGAAACCCCUGGGCUGGCCCUGGGUCUGGUUCGGCAGCGGGAAUCCCGGGAGUGUCUUGAUGACCGCAGAUGAAAUAUGAAUGGUGAAGGCCUUGUGGAAGAAGGCAGGGAAAAACCAGUAAGUCAAAAUCUUUUUGGUCAGUAAAGCAAGCUGACUGCAAAUGCAACCCCAUGCCAAGAGAGCAGCACGGAGCCGGCGCGGUGGUGAGCUGCUUGUCCAGACACGAGCCGGGAACCGCUGGCCUCGACGGAGACACCCAGGCGCGAGGCUUCUCAGCAUAUUUCAGGUGGACAGAAGCAUUCUCCUGUGCGGUGGGGAGGCAAAGCGCAUAUGUCAGCAUCAUCAUUUGCAACUGGAAAAUGGAAACCUGGGGAAGGUCUGGAAGGCAGAGCUGGCGCUGGAGCUGGGAUGUGCAUCCCCACGCAGGAUGGUGGGGCAGAUAGAGAGGUUCGGAGGCCAGCAACGAGGAUGAUGGAGGAUACAGAAGUGACAUGGAUGGAGCUGCAGAGAAAAUGCAGAAGCAUUGGGGCUGAUGUAUGCUGAGGAUAAACGACUGAGGGGCAGCUUGUGAUACGUAACAGACUGCUGUGGAGAAGGAAGGAAUCAUCUGUUCUCCAUAUCUAAAAUGCAGCAAGGAUGAUUUAGGGCAAACAUCCGGGAUAUUUCUCCAAUGACUUUCCUGGAAGAAGACAGACAAAUGGUUCCUGCUGUUGAAAGAAGAUAGGCUGCAGAUCCUUACCCCCAGCUGAAAGUCCUCCUCAUCUCCUCCGUGCAGAGGCUGGGGUGGCUGUGGGUGAGCACCAGCAGUGCAGGCCCAAAGCACUGGCACCACAGUUGCUUUCAAUAGCAAAAGUUUCAGGUUUCGGAAGUUUAGACUAAUUAUAAGAGCAGACCAAGAUGAUGUGGCCACCACUGAGCGCUUUGCCUGCCUGGGGCAGCAGAUCAACGUGCAGUGGUGCGAGGAUGCGUCCCCGGA